UACGGAGGAUCAGAGCGUUAUCCGGAUUUAUUGGGUUUAAAGGGUGCGUAGGCGGCUUUUUAAGUCAGCGGUGAAAUUUUGCAGCUUAACUGUAACAGUGCCGUUGAUACUGGGGAGCUAGGAUUUGGUUGCUGUGGGUGGAAUGUGUGGUGUAGCGGUGAAAUGCUUAGAGAUCACACAGAAUAUCGAUUGCGAAGGCAGCUCGCAAAGCCAAGAUUGACGCUGAGGCACGAAAGUGUGGGGAUCAAACAGGAUUA
rnacentral:rRNA from 1 species